GAAUAGCUCAGUCAGUAGAGCAUGAGACUCUUAACCCCAGGGUCGUGGGUUCGAGCCCCAUGCUGAGCAAAACA